AUUGAACGCUGGCGGAAUGCUUUACACAUGCAAGCUGAACGGCAGCACGGGAGCUUGCUCCUGGUGGCGAGUGGCGAACGGGUGAGUAAUGCAUCGGAACGUGCCCAUUUGUGGGGGAUAACUAGUCGAAAGGCUAGCUAAUACCGCAUAAGCUCGAAUGAGGAAAGCGGGGGACCGUAAGACCUCCCGCAGCUGGAGCGGCCGAUGUCCGAUUAGCUAGUGGGUGAGGUAAAGGCUCACCAAGGGGACGAUCGGUACCUGGUCGGAGAGGACGACCAGCCACACUGGGACUGAGACACGGCCCAGACUCCUACGGGAGGCAGCAGUGGGGAAUUUUGGACAAUGGGGGCAACCCUGAUCCAGCCAUUCCGCGUGUGGGAAGAAGGCCUUCGGGUUGUAAACCACUUUCGGACGGGAAGAAAUCGACGUGACGACUAAUCGUGUCGGAUGACGGUACCGUAAGAAGAAGCACCGGCUAACUACGUGCCAGCAGCCGCGGUAA
rnacentral:rRNA from 1 species